rnacentral:rRNA from 1 species
GCUGUAAGAUGGCUUCGCGUCCGAUUAGACAGUUGGUGGGGUAACGGCCUACCAAGUCGACGAUCGGUAGCCGGACUGAGAGGUCGAACGGCCACAUUGGGACUGAGACACGGCCCAGACUCCUACGGGAGGCAGCAGUGGGGGAUAUUGCACAAUGGGGGAAACCCUGAUGCAGCGACGCCGCGUGAGGGAAGACGGUCCUUUGGAUUGUAAACCUCUGUCUUCGGGGACGAAGCGAGACGGUACACGAGGAGGAAGUCACGGCUAAUUACGUGCCAGCAGCGGCGGUAAUAGGUAGGUGGCAAGCGUGUUCCGGAAUUAUUGGGUGUAAAGGGAGCGUAGGGGGGCAGCCAAGUCAGGCGUGAAAUAUAUCGGCUCAACCGGUAACGGCGCUUGAAACUGCAGGUCUUGAGUGAAGUAGAGGUUGGCGGAAUUCCUAGUGUAGCGGUGAAAUGCGUAGAUAUUAGGAGGAACACCAGUGGCGAAGGCGGCCAACUGGGCUUUUACUGACGCUGAGGCUCGAAAGUGUGGGGAGCAAACAGGAUUAGAUACCCUGGUAGUCCACACCGUAAACGAUGAUUACUAGGUGUGGGGGGACUGACCCCUUCCGUGCCGGAGUUAACACAAUAAGUAAUCCACCUGGGGAGUACGGCCGCAAGGUUGCAACUCAAAUGAAUUGACGGA